CCCUUAGAUGUUCUGGGCUGCACGCGCGCUACACUGAACAGUUCAACAAGUCUUAACCUUGGCCGAUAGGUCUGGGUAAUCUUUGAACGCUGUUCGUGAUUGGGAUAGACCUUUGCAAUUAUGGGUCUUCAACGAGGAAUUCCUAGUAAACGCAAGUCAUCAGCUUGCAUUGAUUACGUCCCUGCCCUUUGUACACACCGCCCGUCGCACCUACCGAUUGAAUGGUCCGGUGAAGCCUCCGGAUUGGCGCGCACCUCGGUGCCGCCGAGAAGUUGGCUAAACCUUACCAUUUAGAGGAAGGUGAAGUCGUAACA
rnacentral:rRNA from 1 species